GUCUAUGGCCAUGCCACCCUGAACAAGCCCGAUUCUGUCUGAUCUCUGAAGCUAAGCAGGGUUGGGCCCGGUUAGUACUUGGAUGGGAGACCACCUAAGAAGAUCAGGUGCUGUAGGCA
rnacentral:rRNA from 1 species